UAAAUACGACACAUGUUGAUGAAAGUCUGUGUUUUCACAAGUUUGGAGUGAUUGGAAGCUAAUUAGUUAAGGAUUAUAAUUAGUCUAUGCAAAGAAAUGGGAUAACAGUUGGUGGCGGCAUGCAUGGGCUCUUUCAUCACACUUCUCCCUUGUAGAAGACUGGGCGGUUAUUGAAUGGGCACAGGCGAAAGCCACCACAGAGGAACACUUUGAGCACAAUGGAUUGGAUUAUUGGUAAUCUGUCCAAGUCUCACCCAAACCUGUGCAAAGUCGCUACAGUGGGACUGCUUCUACCAACCUCCACAGCUGAUUGUGAGAGAGGUUUCAGCAGUUGAAUGUGUAAAGACCACCCACUAUUCACCAGUGAGCAUGAAAGUGCUUAAUGAUUUACUCAUGGUGUCCAUGCAGGGACAAAAAAUGAAUGACUUAAUUUCAGUGAUGCAGUAAAGGAAUGGCACAGUGCCAAAGACA